CUGAUGAGAGAGUGAAAAACUGAUAUUGCUGUUCCAUAGGGGGCAGUGAUUGAAGUGUGAGAGGGAGUCGUGCGGAGACCAAGGGGGAGGUAGAGAGUGAAGUGGAGGUGAGAGUGAAGUGGAGGUGAGAGUGAAGUGGAGGUGAGAGUGAAGUGGAGGUGAGAGUGAAGUGGAGGUGAGAGUGAAGUGGAGGUGAGAAGAGGUGAACUGGAGGUGAGAAGAGGUGAACUGGAGGUGAGAAGAGGUGAACUGGAGGUAAAGGAGUGCAACUGAAAUUACUAUCCCCUUGGGGACAGUGUUUGAAGUGUGAGAGGGGGUCGUGCGAAGGCCAAGAAGACGGGGGUGUAGGGAUUGGCGGUGCCGAGGAAGUACCGCGGAAGUCGUGCGAUAACCAAGAUGGUUGGAGUGGUGAAGGAGUAUUGAGAUAGUCGUGCGAAAGUCAAGGGUGAUGAGGUGGUGAUGAGGAUGUCGUGCAGAGACCAAGAGGGAUAGGAUUGAGAGUGAAUGUGAGCAGUGUGUAAAAAAUUUUGUGCAUAAAAUCUUGUGUGUGUUUGUGUUUGUGCCUGUGUUUGUGUUCGUAUGCCUGUGUUUGUGUUUGUGCGUAGUGCGGUUUUGUGUUUUGUAUGGCCGAGGGACGUGUGUUGCCAAAACCUAUUAAAAAGGCCUUCAUUUUGCCCUCUAUAUGAUUUCUCUGGUCGUUAAAAUACCCCCCCAGAUGAUACGGUUUGAAAUUCUUAGAUUGUGAUUUUUGGGAGGGGUUUCAAUGUUGCACAGUUUCAAUGCUGCGCGAGAAAUGAAUAUACAAGAAGAAAUUGUGACAGAGUGAGAACUGGUGAAGUGGGAAAUGAAAGGAAAAAUUUUGAAUGGACCCACAGGGACAUAAUAAUUCAAUACACGGCUCUUUUGGUUCAAUGCUUUUGUUUUAAACGUCUUUCUUCGGGCCAUUUUGAUUGAACCUUUUCGAUGUUUUGGGUGGCGCGCACUCUGAAAAAUAUGCGG
rnacentral:misc_RNA from 1 species